CCCUUAGAUGUUCUGGGCCGCACGCGUGCUACACUGAGUAAAUCAAUGGGUAAGGGAACACGAAAGUGCAACCUAAUCUUGAAAUUUGCUCGUGAUGGGGAUCGACGGUUGCAAUUUUCCGUCGUGAACGAGGAAUACCUUGUAGGCGCGUGUCAUCAUCACGCGCCGAAUACGUCCCUGCCCUUUGCACACACCGCCCGUCGCUCCUACCGAUUGAGUGAUCCGGUGAGGCUCUGGGACCUGGACGGAAAGAGCGUUUCGCUUGUUCUGUUUGGGAAACUUGGUCGAACCUUAUCAUUUAGAGGAAGGAGAAGUCGUAACA
rnacentral:rRNA from 1 species